rnacentral:rRNA from 1 species
AGAAUCAACGCUGGCGGCGUGCCUAACACAUGCAAGUCGAACGAGAAAGUGGAGCAAUCCAUGAGUAAAGUGGCGCACGGGUGAGUAACACGUGACUAACCUACCUUUUAGUGGGGGAUAACCUAGGGAAACCUGGGCUAAUACCGCAUAAUACCUACGGGUCAAAGCAGCAAUGCGCUGAAAGAGGGGGUCGCGGCCGAUUAGCUAGUUGGCGGGGUAAUGGCCCACCAAGGCAGUGAUCGGUAUCCGGCCUGAGAGGGCGCACGGACACACUGGAACUGAAACACGGUCCAGACUCCUACGGGAGGCAGCAGUGGGGAAUUUUGCGCAAUGGGGGAAACCCUGACGCAGCAACGCCGCGUGGAGGAUGAAGUCCCUUGGGACGUAAACUCCUUUCGAUCGGGACGAUAAUGACGGUACCGGAAGAAGAGCCCGGCUAACUUCGUGCCAGCAGCCGC